rnacentral:pre_miRNA from 12 species
AGAAGAAACAUUUAUUGGCACAUUCGUGAUCUACCCUGUAGAUCCGGGCUUUUGUAGUUUAAUUUUCAUCAGAAGCUCGUCUCUACAGGUAUCUCACGGCUGGAAGACCUCGCUACUUUGUUAC